GGGUGACUAGUCUAGUGGUCAGGACGCUUCGUUGUGGUCGUCAGAGCACAGCUGAACCGAAGAAACCCCGGUUCGAUUCCGGGGUCGCCCA